rnacentral:rRNA from 1 species
AAUACCGGCAGCUCGAGUGAUGUCCAAUAUUAUUGGGCCUAAAGCGUCCGUAGCUGGCCGCGCAAGUCCGUCGGGAAAUCCACCUGCCCAACAGGUGGGCGUCCGGCGGAAACUGUGUGGCUUGGGACCGGAAGACUUGAGGGGUACGUCUGGGGUAGGAGUGAAAUCCUGUAAUCCUGGACGGACCGCCGAUGGCGAAAGCACCUCAAGACGACGGAUCCGACAGUGAGGGACGAAAGCUAGGGUCUCGAACCGGAUUAGAUACCCGGGUAGUCCUAGCCGUAAACAAUGCCUGCUAGGUGUGGCUCCCACUACGAGUGGGUGCUGUGCCGUAGGGAAGCCGCUAAGCAGGCCGCCUGGGAAGUACGUCCGCAAGGAUGAAACUUAAAGGAAUUGGCGGGGGAGCACUACAACCGGAGGAGCCUGCGGUUUAAUUGGACUCAACGCCGGACAUCUCACCAGCAUCGACUGUAAUAAUGACGAUCAGGUUGAUGACCUUAUCCGAGUUUCAGAGAGGAGGUGCAUGGCCGCCGUCAGCUCGUACCGUGAGGCGUCCUGUUAAGUCAGGCAACGAGCGAGACCCGCGCACCUACUUGCCGGCAGCAGUUUCGACUGGCUGGGUACAGUAUGUGGACUGCCAGGGGCAACCUGGAGGAAGGAACGGGCAACGGUAGGUCAGUAUGCCCCGAAUGAGCUGGGCGACACGCGGGCUACAAUGGUCGAGACAAUGGGUUGCCACCUCGAGAGAGGGCGCUAAUCUCCGAAACUCGAUCGUAGUUCGGAUUGAGGGCUGAAACUCGCCCUCAUGAAGCUGGAUUCGGUAGUAGCCGCCUUUCAGUAAAAGGCGGCGAAUACGUCCCUGCUCCUUGCACACAA